UACGAGGGGGGCAAGCGUUGUUCGGAAUUAUUGGGCGUAAAGGGCGCGUAGGCGGUGCGGUAAGUCACCUGUGAAAACUCUGGGCUCAACUCAGAGCCUGCAGGCGAAACUGCCGUGCUUGAGUGUGGGAGAGGUGCGUGGAAUUCCCGGUGUAGCGGUGAAAUGCGUAGAUAUCAGGAAGAACACCCGUGGCGAAGGCGGCUCUCUGGAACGCAACUGACGCUGAGACGCGAAAGCGUGGGGAGCAAACAGG
rnacentral:rRNA from 1 species